ensembl:rRNA 5S_rRNA 5S ribosomal RNA
GUCUACGGACAUACCACCCUGAACGCGCCCGAUCUUGUCUGAUCUCAGAAGCUAAGCAGGGUCGGUCCUGGCUAGUACUUGGAUGGGAGGAAAAAUAAGACACCUUACUCU